rnacentral:rRNA from 1 species
GUYUUUUUGUUAAAAAUUUAAAGUCAGGCCUGCCCACUGAAACUUUAAAUGGCCGUGGUAUUUUGACCGUGCUAAGGUAGCAUAAUCAUUAGUUUUUUAAUUGAAAGCUGGAAUGAAAGGUUUGAUAAAAAAAUGACUGUCUCUAUUUAAUUUUAUUAGAAAUUUAUUUUUAAGUUCAAAAGCUUAAUUUUUAUUAAAAGACGAGAAGACCCUAUAGAGUUUAAUAAUUUAAGGUAAUUUAUAUUUUAGAAUUAAUUUAUUUAUUUUUUAAUAUUAUUUAAUUGGGGUGAUUGAAAAAUUUAAUUAACUUUUUUUAUAUUUAACCAUUAAUUUAUGAUAAUUUGAUCCAAUUUUUUUUUGAUUAUAAGAUAAAAUUACCUUAGGGAUAACAGCGUAAUUUUUUUAGAAAGUUCAAAUUAAAAGAAAAGAUUGCGACCUCGAUGUUGGAUUAAAAUUAAAUUUUGGUGUAGAAGCUAAAAAUUUUAAGUCUGUUCGACUUUUAAAAUUUUACA